CAGCCGCCACGGGAAUACGUAGGUGGCAAGCGUUGUCCGGAAUUAUUGGGCGUAAAGGGCUCGCAGGCGGUUUCUUAAGUCUGAUGUGAAAGCCCCCGGCUCAACCGGGGAGGGUCAUUGGAAACUGGGAAACUUGAGUGCAGAAGAGGAGAGUGGAAUUCCACGUGUAGCGGUGAAAUGCGUAGAGAUGUGGAGGAACACCAGUGGCGAAGGCGACUCUCUGGUCUGUAACUGACGCUGAGGAGCGAAAGCGUGGGGAGCGAACAGGAUUAGAGACCCCUGUAGUCCCUGUCUCUUAUAC
rnacentral:rRNA from 1 species